UUUUGUAAAAAAAAGAACAUGAAAAAUCGACCAUCACCACCUUGCGAAUAUUUUAAAAAAAUGGCGCAAAACAAAGGGUUUCUUUAAAGAAGAGGACUUCUCCUGCUGAAUGCUCCACAAGCUCUCUAAGGAUCCUUUCAGAAUUCUAAUGCCGGGCCUGGCCCUUAUUUGACUGUGUAUUUAAUAACUGCUGUUGCUGUUGAGAGUUGGUACAAUUUUCUCAAAGGAAUUUUCCAUCUCUGAAAGGAUCCAUUCAGAAUUCUAAAG